CCUACGGGAGGCUGCAGUGGGGAAUAUUGCACAAUGGGGGAAAGCCUGAUGCAGCAACGCCGCGUGAGUGAAGACGUCUUUCGGUAUUUAAAGCUCUAUUAGUAGGGAAGAAAAUGACAGUACCUGACUGAUCAGCCCCGGCUAAUAACGUGCCAGCAUCCGCUGUAAUACGUAGGGGGCACGCGUUUAUCGGAUUUACUGGGUGUAAAGGGGGCUUUGUUGGGUGUGCAAGUCAGAAGGGAAAGCCCUGGGGUCAACCGCGGGAGUGCAUUUGAAACUGUGGAGCUAGAGUGCAGGAGAGGUAAGUGGAAUUCGUAGUGUAGCGGUGAAAUGCGUAGAUAUUAGGAGGAACACCGGUGGCGAAGGCGGCUUACUGGACUGUAACUGACGCUGAGGCUCGAAAGCGUGGGGAGCAAACAGGAUUAGAUACCCGGGUAGUC
rnacentral:rRNA from 1 species